ACCAUAUGCAAUUGACUCAUUGAACUCCAUCCUGCUUCAGACAGAGAUGCCUUUUUUUCAGAGUUAAAAUAAAACGGGUAAUUUGUUGUAGGGGGAGGAAAAGAUGAGCUGCUGGAAGACAAGAUAUGGACUGGAAAGAAAGCCCUUGCCUUGACACGAAAUAAAAUCCGAAGCAUUGUAGAGCCAGAUCAUCCUGAGCAAGUUUUGCCCGUAAGGAAUGGCGGAGAUAACUUCAAAAAUUUGGACCAUGGCGAAACUUUCAAACAAAAAGUUGCCAGAGCACUUAAACAGAAGCUCAAACGCGGUCCUUCAAUAAGUUUUUCGUCCUCGAGUAGCAGUUCCAAUCGGACUGACAAAACAGGCAAGGCGUCACGCACGCCAAAAAGGGUGAAAAAGGCUCUAGCUCCAUUGACGGCAAUCACUGCUCCUACGGCUAUCCAAUAUAUGGGCCAAAUGUACAGGAGAGCCAAAAGCAUGGCCAAAGGGCAUAGUCGUCCACAGCGGGUGACGCGGUCAAAGCCAAUCCCAGAGCAGGAGGGCUCGCGCAGUUGCCAAUCUGAACGUUUUGAAAAGUUCUUGGACUCCUCCGACAUCAACACAGACGACGAGGAUGAGCGGUUAAAAGUAUACAGAGAUGGCUCAGCACACUGUGUGAAAAAGAAAUCAACCAAGAUUACGUAAAGGCAAUCCCAGUUGACAACUUGCCUGAAAUUUUCCAGCCAAAGGCACCAGAGCUUCCACACCUUCUCGUCAAUCCUCUCAACAAUGGCAAUAUCCACAUCCACCAUCACCGACGUGGACACUGCCCCCCGAGCGCCCCAGAGUCGUCCAACCCGACCCCCCUUUUCAGCGGCAAUGGUCAUCUCCAUCACGGCCACCACCGGACGAACCGACUCUAUCACCCCCGACCACAUCCGAUUUACCUCCCUUGCCGCGGGCCCUCUCGCGAAACCGGAUUGAGAAGAUCAAGAAGUGGCUGUUGGACAUAUGCCCGGACGGAGAUUUCACCGACAAGUUCAUUUCUACGAUCCCCCGAAGACUCCUACCAAAGAGAUUGCAAGAUAAGUAUACCACUCCUCGGCGAUCCAACAAAUCUAAAAAGCCUCAAUCACUACCCUCGCAGGUUAAUACGAGUGGAAAUACGCCUCAGUCAUACGAUAGUCGUGAUUCCAGGAAACUAAAGUCACAAGGCAGCAAGGAUUCCAAAGCAUCGGAGGAUAGUUCGUUAAAAGCAUUACAGUCGCAUAAUAGCGAGGGUUCAAAUACAACUUAUGACUAUAAGGAUCAGAAUUUUUAAAGUUUUCCUGUAAGGCAUACUUCCGCUUUUUCUUCUUAAAUUUGUCAUCUACCGAUUUUGCCCUUAGUAAAUGAGAGAGGAAUCAAGUCCAUGAAGGGAGGAACUGUUUCAAAGAUUCCUGCUGUAAUAUGAUAUCUGCAUUACUCGUAGCUGUUGUCAGGUUUAUAUUCAGUUGUAAAGCAGUAUUUAAAGUGACCUGAUACUAAAACCGCUUGUACUAUUUAUGAUCAUUUAUUAAGAAUUGGCAAAACUCUGUCGUUUUCAAUGCAAUUUGAAUUAUUUGUAUACCACACUUGUUCAGGCGUGAAUGUUUAACCUUCUUUGAAAAAUAUUUGAGGAGGCAUACUAAAAAGGAGGUUGGAUAAAAUUAUUUUUUUAUUCCUCUUCUUUCAUUUCAAUGGUGGUAGUUUCCGGGAAAGAGUCUUUUUACCCGCGAGAAUCUUAAAAUUCACGUAUUGCAUCCACUUCUUAGUGCAGUAUUGUACAAACAACUUCACAAGAAAAGCGUCCAAAAAUAUUCAACUGAACUUAGAUUAUGAUUAUUUAAAGCUUACUAUUGAAAAAAUGUACUAUUGAGGUAAAUGUUAUUAAUAGUUUCGGUGGAAAAAUCGCCUUCAUUUACGGAGACCAUGUGAGCACGUCAGGGCGCGUUUAACCGCUUGGUGCCUCUAUCAGGCUCCUUCAUUUUGUCGAUUUGACCAAAAGCCACCAUGCAUUUGUAUACUCGUUAUUUCAAAGCUAGCCUCGUAAUCUGGAAACACUCAUUAUUGCCGACCUCGUAACACUUAUUGUGUAAUAUUAUUUUAUUAUACGUCAUCAUCUAUACAUACGAAAAGGGUUGAAAAAUUUUGCUGAGUAGCAAUUUUGAAAAAUACAUUCCCCUUUUCAAAUGAGAAAGAGACUUUUUGCGCUUGGUAAAGAGAAAUGAUAGAAAUUUUGGAUCGUAAGGAAAAAAUGUGUAAUGCUCGUUCAGAUGUAAGUAAGCUCAAUUAUCUUUCCUACUCAUUUUUUCGGGUUGAGCCGUAGGAUACGGUCAUCUGAUGGCAUCCCUCAUUUCUCUGCUCCCAAAUAUGCAAAUCCAUCGGUAAAUGCCACAAAUGUCAAUUUUCUGCCAUUUGAAAUAGGUAGCUUUCUUUAAAAAUGUCACCAGAUUCGUGUUUCUCCUCUCAUAAAAUCCCGAAUACCCACUUUCAGGUAAAUUCAUUGAAGAAUGACUAAAUGCCAACUUCCCGCCAUUUUCGGCCGACAUUUUUUUUUUGAAAAAAAAAAAUAUGGCGACUUACAGAUUCCGCGGAAAAAUUUCUAUCUUUAUUCGGACGUAUCACAAGGAGGGGGCUUGCAAUUCGAAAACAAAAGUUGGGGGCCGCUCCCCCCCCCUCCAAAAAAAUUUGGAUUUACAAAAAAUUAGUCUCUCGACCCAGAGACAUUCCCAAGUUUCGUCUCAAUAGCUCAAUUAGGGAAAAUUUUAGAAAGGAAAGGGGGCACGGACAUUUGGGACAACCUGUUUAUUGAACGAAUUUCCUUGAUUCCGUACAUAAUGAUUCUUAAAUAUGCACGUACAUGUAAGUAAACGUUCUUUAGAAAAAAAUGUUAUCAAGCAGCACCUGUUAUUAGGGAACAUGCACACUAACAUAUUAAUAUUAUUACACUCCGCUUCAAAAAUAUCCUGUACAACGACAUGAGAUCCAUGGCAGGAAGACUCGCAUAGGCUGGUCAAGCACGCGUCGUCAUAAGUAGUCGCAUAAUCAUAAAAUCUCCAAAAGCUCCAGGCAACGGUCACCCUUAAGACGCGAGACGUGUCAAAUCACGAGCCUCGAUUGUAUUAAUGGCGUUUAUGGGUUUAUUUAUGGUGAAGCCAUAAAACGGGGGGUUAUAAUGUUACUGCAUUGUCAUUAAAAUGACAUUUCAGGGUGGUUUGUUAGCAAUACGGCUGAGCGUCAACGCAAAAGCUGAAAUGGUGGACUGUGCCUCGCUCCAAUCUGCGUUGCAUGAGAAGGUAUUUUAUUCAGGUUUUUUCUUUCUAGAUUAAGGGCAUGGUCGCUUUUUUCACAGUUUUCCCUUAAAUUGAUUGAGUGACGUGGCACCAUAAAACAAGCAGGAAAGCUCUAAUACGUUUGUAGUUGAGAAGCACCCACUGUUUUCUGGUUAGACGCGUUUUUAAGUUCCCCGAAGAAGAUGAACACCGUUGAGAUAAAAAAACUUACAUAACAAAAUUUAAACUAUCAAUUUUGAAAAACUACACUACCGAUAAAAAAAAGAACUACAGAAAAACGAUUAGCGUAAUCCGUGCUAUUAAAUAAAUAAGUAUCACAGAUUAAUCAAAUUUAAAUAAGUUAGGUCCCUCUUCGCCAUCUUGUUGUUGAUGGUGCGCCAUUUGAACGCAUUGCCACUCGUGUACUAGAAUUCUAAAGGCAGGUUGAAAUCAAAAAGCGCUCCUAGUCGGCUGGAAGCUUAAAAUACGAUUUCCCUAAACAACAAGUGAUAUUACCAGAGGUCUCAUAAUCUGCCCUUAUUAGUGGGUCAUUCAGCGGCUUGCGGCAUGCAAGCGCGAAACGGGCGCUGGCGCCUACAAACCUAACAGGGAUACUUCACGCAUUGCGCAAUGCGUGAAGUAUCCCUGUUAGGUUUGUAGGCGCCUAUGCGCGAGUCAUGCUAGUUGCCCGCUGCGUCACAGAGUGACACGGCGGCGCGGCGCGGGGCUUCAACCAAUUAACCUAACACCUUCGCGGAUUAAUAAGCAUCAGUUCAUCCGUUAUUUCUUUCCAGCCUGGAUUGCAAAUACAGGUCAUAUAAAAAGGGCCGGGCGGCCCUCUUAACGAGCGUAUGCAAAGCAAUCUUGAGUGUAUUCGUAAAGGUACCUUGGACUAUUUACAUGGGUCGAGGGUAAAAUAGUCGCCUGUCCCAAAUUAUUGGGAUCAAAGUUCGGAUCGUUUUGUAUUGCGUCUUUCAAAUGAGCAUAAUUUUCACAUCUCAAUUUCUUUUGAUUUAACAGAAUAUAACGUAAUUGCUCUGACUCCAUUUUAACAAUCAUAUCAGUGAUAGACUGAUGAGAUAGAUGCCGAAAACGAGGAAGUAAAUUUAAAGAAGCUCUCCGGACCAUUAUAUAAUAAGUGUAAAAAUCCUUGCAAGACACUUUCUUCCCGCGGGGCUUUUUAGACUUGGGAUCAAUCAGGAAAUUUUCGAAGUGGUAACCCUCUUGCCCUUACCAGAAAAUCAGCGGUAUUGCGGGGUUUGACAGUGCAGUUUUAAAAUUAUAUCUAUGCGAGGGAUAAUAAUAAUUUGCCAGUUAUAAAAAUGCAUACUAUCAUGGAAUAAGAAAUGCAGGUUUCGAAAAUUGUAAGGUAGGUCCGCACAUACACAUACAUUAAAGUAUACACAAAUUAUGUCGAUGAGGCGCAUUAGAUAUUAAGCUGGGAAAAUGGGCCCUGUAUGUAUUUGUUCAUAAAGACAAAUAUUAUCUGUUCCAAGCAGCAGAUUAUCAGCAGUAUUGUCUGUUGGCAAGCAGAGCUAAGGGACAGUAAGCAACUAAACGUACUCUGAGGUGCUCACGUGGUAUUCUACGUAAAUGAAGGCGUUUUACACACCGUGCGUCAGUGCGUUCUCGGAAAUAAAAGUGUGAGUGUCUUGUAAGUUAGUCAAUGAUUGCAAAAUGCGAUAUUUCUUGCAGAAGGCAUAAAAUCAAGGGAAACUUUUUAUCAAUUUAUCAAUUAUCAUUUGACGUUCAAUCCUCUAAUAAAGACAUUUUGUCUGUUUUCUGUAUUUUUUGUGUACUUUUGUUUUGCAUUAAUUGUAAAAGAAAUAUGUAUAAAUAAACUAAUACAUAUCUACCCACUUCAAUGAAGACGCACAAAAAUUCA
rnacentral:lncRNA from 1 species